CGGAUUAUAUAUCUUGGCCUCUGUGGCACUUUUCAUCGCAAACUUCAACCUGCAUUACCGAGCUGGAGUCACUGGAGCAGCACUAACGAUGAGAAUACGACGUGCAAUGCUAGCUAAGAUAUUUCAGCAGGAGGUGGGAUGGUUUGAGAAGGAUGGAAACUCAAGCGGACAAAUCUACAACCGCCUAGGAAAUGAUGCGAAAACCGUGAGUGGCUGACUGACCUGCUUGCUUUGCAACUUCUCUCACUGUUGUCCUGGUUGACAGGUCGGAGAACUCUUUUGGGACCGUGGCCAGUCGCUGGUACAGGUGAUCACAACAGUUGUCUUUUGCAUGAGCUUGAGCUUUUGCCUGUCGUGGAAGCUAGCAGUUGUCGCUUCAAUCCCUCAACUUCUGAUCGCCGGUGCUUUCUACGCCAGAAGCAGGAGCCUCAUCGGACUUAUGCGUCAGAUUGCUGCAGAGCACAAGAGAGUUAGUGAUCUAGCCAAUGAUGCGGCCUCACAACAGAAAACAAUCACGGCCUACUGCUUGCAAGACACGGUUUUAAAAGAAAUCAAGGCCACCUCAGCGAGAACUCUGGCUGCAUCUCAAGUUGCAGGGUUUCUCUACGGCUUCUGCUUCUUUGCACUCUACAACUUCUAUGCCCUCUGCAUCUGGUAUGGAGGAACACUACUGGUAGCAAGAAGAAUAACCUUCCAGAAUUUUGUGAUCUGCUA
rnacentral:lncRNA from 1 species